UCAGACCAGGCGUGGUGCGCCAGUGACGGCCGCGCCCCCUUUGGAGCGCAUUUCUAUUGGUAGCGGCGGCUGACCGUCAGCGCGCCCCUUCCGGUUGCCCGUCCCGAUUGGCUCCAGAGGCGAUCCGUCGGCUCGGGCGGCGGAUGCUACACUCGGCUGCUGCGGGGUGGGGCACGCGGAGGAAGUCGGCGGCUGUCAGAGAUCACGGUCCAGCCUGGAGGAGGAGCUGGGUGGUUGGAGACGCUGGGCUGUGGGGCCGGCGGCGGUGGCGGCAGCGGCAGCAGCAGCCCCAGUCCGGAGCGCCAUAUCCUGUCAGAAAGGCUUCUUGAGACUCUGCCCAGUUGCCCUCUGCCCAAUUUCUGUUGCUCUCCGGCCUUUACCGACUCUUGCCUAGGUUGGUACAGUGAUUUUAUGACUUGUCUUCCUGACAACUUGCAUGUCUGUUCGUCCUCUGUGAAUGACUAGGUAAUGACUCUUGUUGAAAACUGGGUGAAACCUUGAAUGGCCUACAUGAUAAAGUGCAGUCUCUUUAGCAGUGUGGUUAAGGACCUGUGUAGUGGUAGCUCCAGAUUCUUCCAGAUGUGUCUCCCAUCAUUCUUCAUCUUGGAACCUCGUGUUCUGACAAAACCCACCUUUUUGGCCACACCAAAGCUUUGUUAUUUCUCCAUAUUUUUGCACAUAUUGGUUUUUCUGCCUAACUGAAUCCCAUUCAUUUUUCAAGGCUCAGCUCUUUAUAAAACCUUUUGGAAGUUCUUCAACUCAAUGUACUGUUCCAGUUCUUUAACUCUUAUUUGCUAUUUAUUUGUCUGCUUUGGUUUAUUACCAUGCCAUUUCAUGGAUGCAUUUAUCUAAUAUUUACAGUGCCUAUGUUUAAUAAUCUGUGUUUGUUUUGAUAGCCACCUUGUGUUCAGGCUUAUUCAUUUGUGUGUCCUCAGUGUCUAAAAUGAUUUUUAACACCAAGGAUACUGCAAGAGAAAGCCAUCAUGGAGUUUAUAAUUAAUCUGGGGCAGAGUAGACACUGAAAAGUGGUUAUGGAAUCAAUUGUCAAUAGAGAAAGCCUUUAAAUAUAUACAAAUAUGUCCUGGACAGUAAAUAGUAAUUUCUUUUUUUGCCACUUCUUCCUAUCCUUGCAAGAAACAUACAGUGUGAAACCCUUGCUCACUAUAAAGAAUGAGUGCUGUCUUUCAGGGUGUGAAAUGGACAUUUCAGGUUUAGAGAUAAACAGGAUACGGUGGCUGGCAAGUGGCUGAGUCAGCAGUGAAUACCCAGGGAAAGAGCUACAAGAGGCAGUUUGUUUUCUUUCUACAUGUUUUUAGAGCUAAUGCGAACAAAAUAUUUGGAAGUUUUUCCCAUUUUGAGUCUACAGUACUUAGUGGUAUUCUCCUUAUAGUUACAUCUUCAUGUUGCGUGCGUGACCUAUCUCCCAGAUGUUUAUGGUGGUUCCACUUUCUCUGGGCUCAAUUUUCACAUCUAUAAAAUGGGUUGGAAAGUGAGAUUAGGCCUAGGAUUUCAGAAAUAAAUGGCAUCCACAGCAAAGAAGAACAUGAGAAGGAAAGUGAAAUGUACAUCCCACACAUAGCUGAGCCACAACUUACCAUCAUCCAGGUUACAUCAAGUUACUUCUCACAGGGAAAUUUUGUUAGAAAUUCCUGAAACUGUGAUAUGAUCCAGCUUUGGGCAAGCAUUUUUUUUUUUCUCUUUUUAGAAUGAAAAUCUGUGCUACAAUCAUUGCAGAUUCUGCAUCCUUGCUGUUUUCUUUGUGGAACAUUUCUCAUUGAUUCUUUUUGUAUUGAAAAUAUAUUUUUAUUUUGCUUACCUAGACAAUUUCAAAAUACAAAUCAUAUAUAAUAUGCAGAUAUAACAGAAGAAUAAAUAUAAACGCAUGUGUAUGUAAAAUGUCACUGAGUUCAGUUUUCUUUCUGAAUCCUUAACUCAAGAGGAUUCAGUGGGCUCAAUAUGUCUUCUGCCUUGCUUGGCCUACUUCCAAUCAUGCAGAGCACCUAUUGUCAGAAUUUUCUGGAGCUCAAAUGCAGAUGCCUUCCCUGUGGACAUCUCUCAAGUCAGAAGGAGCAUUGUGCAAUGGACAGCCUUGGUUGUAUUACUAUCCUCUCUAAACUACAAGUCAGGAUGACGCAUGGACUAAACAGGCCAAUAAAGUAGCCUCAAUAAAUGUCAUAAUGAAAUACAAACGCUGGCCUGAAGCCAUCAGCCUUUCCUGAGAGAGCUUUACCUGCUUGGACUUUGGGAAGCUGGCCCCUGAACCUGAGUUGGCAGCAGGUGGGUGGAUGGAUGGCAUCCUCCUGAAUGCUCAGUGAUCUCCUGGCUUCUACGGCCCCCCAGGCCAGGCACAGUUAGAUCACAUCAGGGACGUGUGGUUAUCCUGUGGCUUUUUCUGGGCACCCAACUCCUCGAGUCUCUUCCUCCUUAGGUAAACAGAGGUGGUUCCUUUGCUCCAGACUUAGUUGGGCUGGAACACCCCACCACGAGUUUCAGAGGUCAGGUGGUAGUUUUCUGUGUCUUCCUCUCUGCUACUGGUGCGCCCAGUCAUUGGCAUUGCUUCUGUGGUUUCCAUUUCAACACCAGGUGGCUGGGAAGUUUGCCUGCAAAGCAGAUGAUUCACACGUUUUGAAAAGAGGAGAGGGUUGCCCUCAAAUCAGCAGAUAACUUCCUAUUGAACAUGGGUGUCCAGCACAGUGUGGAAGGCAUUAGCAAACACAUGCCCUGCCUGCAGGAAUCACAAAAUACUCGGUCUUUGAUGGUGGUAUUGCUCAAAGAUCUAGAAAACCUAAAAGGCUUAAACUUCCAGAUGGAAUUUAAAUACCAUAUUUUCAUCCACCAGAUUUACCAGUGCUAUUGGGGCAGUUCACGUCUCUCCCACAAGCUCCUCAUCCCCACCCCUUGUUGAAAAGCACUUCAAAUGGCAGGGACAGGAAAAGGGAAGUGUAGCCAGGAGGCUGCUCUCACCACACUUGGUCAUCUACAUCAUCCAAGCUCAUGAAGGUUUUUAAACGGUUCUUGGUGCUUAGUAAGUGUUAGAAACAGACUAAUCAUCUCUUGAAUAAUGAGAGUGAGGAAGGCACAAUAUUUUGAUUACACAUUUGUGUGCCUGUCAUGAAGCUGCCUCUCUGAGUAGCUGGGUCAGCAGCACCUUCUUCUCUGGCUUACAGAGUCUCUCUUCUACAGAGAAGCAACUUUUUAGGCCAUUUUAAGGGAAGUGAUUUGAGCCCCUUCGAGUGAAAGCUUGGCUAUAAAUCAGAAUCUUAGGCCAAUUUGCUAAAAGCCAGUUUGUUGACUAGGAUAUCUGAUAACCAAUUUGCAAAAUGCAGUUUACGGGAAGAUUUAAUUGACCAAAUGACCAAAUAAUCAUAUUUACCAGAUUUACCAAACCUUUUAAAAAUACAUUUACAAAAAUAUUUAAUAUAGUCAGUAAACACUGGUAUUUCCUCUUGUGAGUACAUUAUUAGCUGUAUAUACCAAACUUACAAAUUCUUUUUAAGAAUAUAUUUUAAUGUAUUUAUUACAAAGAUGACAUAUAGAUUCAUUUUAAUAUAGCUAGCUAUAAUCUAAGAAUAUAACUCUACAUUCAGCUUUUUAUAUGGAAAUUAUUCAGCAAUGAUAUUUUGAAAAUCCUUUUGAAAGUAAUUUCAUCUGUAUUUUCAACAUUUGGCAUUUAAGAGGUUUUUUAGAUAAAUUUUUGAGUAAUUUAUUAACCUUAGUUCAUUAACUUCUGAGCUACUACCUAAGAUAUUGAUGGCAUUUUUUAUUGGUUGGUCUGGUAUUAACAGCUUUUGAAGAUUUAUGUGAACUUUUAAAGACUGGUUUUCAUUUUUGGCUUUACGAUAGAAUUUCAUGGAAUGUUCAUUUUGUAAAAAUUAGGCUCAAAGUGUCCUAUACUUUUAUAGUGACAUCAUAUUUAAUAUUUUAUAACUAGUCAGUAAAAUUUUAGUUUCAACAGACCCAGAGCAACCACAUCGAUCUGGAAGGGUGAGAUCUUGGUCACCACCUGAAAGAAGUACACAAUAAGGCUAGCACUGCUGCUUCAGUCUUUAGUGAAAAAAGGAUCAAAAUGCCUAAAGAUUGGAAAAAUAAUUGAAAAAUUAUUUAUUAUUUAAUAUAGUCAGCAAAUUGAUAUUAUUCUCUGUAAGCAUAUUUAUUGGCAGCAUACAACCAAUUUGUACACUUUUUAACAAUCUAUUUUAAUGUAUUUGUCAUUAAAAAUGAUCCUUAUACAUACCAUCCAGUGGCAGAAACUUGUCAUAAAUGUUGAAAUGCAGAAUUUCAAUUAUUUGACAAAAUUAAGGUUAACACGAUUGAGGAUAAGAAAAUAUACACAAAAUUAAGAGUGCAUUCAAGGAGAGUAUACUAUAUUCAUGAAUAUAUCACCUGAAGAAUUGGCACACAGUGCAUGUUCAUCAGACUGGCCACUAGGGGCACUCUUUCUUUCUAAAUUGAGUAUUGGUAGAUUGGCCUCCUGCAGCAUUAUCUGCCGCCCCCAUCCCACCUCCCUCCCCCCCCCCCCCAGUUCCAACCAGUGGCCUGAGAACUGUGUGACAGAUUAAGGACCCUCUAGGGCUGGCUCAGUGCUCAGCUCUAAUGCUCUCUUUGGCUAAAACAGAGGUGGAUGAGUGUGAGAAUCUAGUCACAAAGGGAUUCUUCCUUUGAGAAAUCAUCCCAGAAUCAUGAUGAUACGGCUAUUUAUUCUUGGGAAGGAGAGAUUUAGUCCUGUGGUUUCUGCUGUGCUACUCACCUUGGUCUGAGGCAAUACGCCAGGAGGAACCCCACACACACUACACCCAGCAGCGAGACAGAUGUGGAGAUGGCCACUGUAAAAGAACAGAACAAAGCUGGAGCCAUGCUGAGAAUCCUAAGAACUCAUUCAUUUCUACGCACUGGAAAAUCCUGUAUGUCCUACAUUCUUGCAGAGAAAUCCAAAUGCUUUCCCAAUAGGCUCACCAUUAUUAACAUUUCUUGAGGGCCUCAUAGCUUGCUCUACUCUAUUUCUGGGCAAAAAUAUGCCCUCUUCCCUGUGGACACUGCCAAUGCAACCCAUCCCCAGCUGUGUUACCCCACACCCCUGCUCCUGAUGCUUGUUCUUGCUGAGUAAAGUGACUGUGAGCAGGGAUGGGUAGGAGGAAAAGGAGGCGCCUCCAAGCCAAAGCUGGGUGAUAGGAGGUAGAGAGGAGGAGGAGAAGGAGGGGGUGGUGGCUAGCCCUUCCAGAAGAGCAAGAGUUCCUUCCUGCCACUGAAACCAAAGUGAAAAGAAGAUGUCUCUGUUCUUCAACUUCACAGAUUUAAGAGCUGCAUGCAGUGCCACUUUCCUUCCAAUUCCAUCAUCUUUUUAGAUUUUUAAAAAAAUUAUUAAACUUAAUUUGAAAGGCAGAGAGACAGAAACAGAAAGAUCUCUCCUCCACUAGUUCACUUCCCAAAUGCACCCAUGUAGGACACCUGGAAGAAGCUCCUGGCUCCUGGCUUCAUAUUCGCUCAGCACCAGCUGUUGUGGCCAUUUGGGAAGUGAACCAGUGGAUGGAAGAUUCUCUCUCUCUCUCUCUCUCUCAUUCUCUCUCUCUCUCUCCUUCUGUAUUUCAAUAGUUAAAAUAAAUCUUAAAAAAAUGAUUGGGCUCCUACCACCCAUUUGGGAGACCUGGAUUCAGUUCCUGGUCCCCUCCACUGGCAAUUGCAAGCAUUUGGGGACUUGGCCAGUGGAAGGGACUGGAUCUCUUUCUCUUUCUCUCUCUAGUAGGUAAAUAAAAGUUUUUAAAAAAAUCCGGUUGAGAUAGACAUGAAUCCCAAUCUCCAACAAGCCUUGUGAGUGUCAAUAUUGCACAGAACGGGCUAGAGAAAUAUACAGUACACCAGAGUACUAAUGAUGGCAUUACAUAUCAUCUUUAAUUUUAAACUUCUUUCUCAUUUUUAAUGACUAAUCAGAAGAUCAAAACUAUAUAAACAAAGCAAGCAACAUUUAAGUAACUAAAAUCAGCAUAGAAAAGUUGCUACUGUAACAGAAAACAUGCAAAAGUAAGCAAAGAUGUUUUGAGCUCUCAGACUUAACAUUAAUCAUCAUUAUGACUUUAAAAAAAGAAUUGUUUUCAGAACUUUUGUACUCUAUGGGAAGCUAUGUCUUCAUGUUCACUAACAGGUGUGGCAUGCAUUUACUGCUAGGAGUGUUUACUGGAAAGGGCAAGUUGAUGAAAGCUGUAGCUCUGCUUUCACAAUGCUUCCUCCUGGUUCCUGUUAAAUGAGAAUAAAAUUUGCAGGGCUCCCGGGCCAAUGACAAAACAAAGCAAUUAGACUUAGGUGACAACCUCAGACUCUUAGCCUCUUCCUCACUUAUAGCCAAAGCAAAUUCAAUAAUGAGAUUCAAACCAAAAUCACCAAGAUAAUGAAUGAAUACAUCACUGGUCAGGUUCUCUACCCUUUUGUGUUUCCAAGGCAAUGUGGACUGCAGAAAAAGGAAAAGAAAAUUUGGUGAGAUAAAGGGGGGAGGAGAGAAAGUAGAGAGAGAGAGAAGAAAAUGUUGAUUAUGAUGCAGCAAUAGAUACCCCCCCCCCCCCCGACUUCAGUCUAUAGUCCAGACUGAGACUAGGACAGAGAAGGCAGGCGAGACUGCCAGUGGCCAGUAUUUGGCACGGAUGGUGGAAAUAUCCUCUGAAUACAUGGAGAGUAGUCAUUGCUUAGCAAUACUGACAAACUAGGCCAGUCGUGGGGUAGCAAUCACUGUGACACAGCGCUGGUGUACCUGCGGCAAAUGAAGGCAGUUUGGAUGGAACAGCAUUGCAUCAAUUCAUUACUCAGUUGAUCAAAGUAAGCCUUUAACGUUCUGUGAAUGAAGUAAAUUGGAAGGGACUUUUUUUUUUUUAUGAGAAAUCCGCAUUUCAUAGCAGCAAAGCACCAAACUAGGUCUAGAGUAGGAAAUGAGCAGAUGAGUAAGACAAGAGAUAGCUCUGUCAACAGCUGAGCAGGUUGGCUGUGGCAAGUUUAUUUCAAAUAUAGAGAAGUAGAGGAAUCCUAAUUUUGAAAAACACAUGCUUCAUUCCUAGUGUACUCAGUGAAGGUGGCAGUGUUGCACGCUCACCUUUUAUUUUAUAAUUGGGAGCCUUGAACAACAGCCUAGGUAGAGACUGGAGAAGAGAUAUUGGAAUAAUCCAACAAAGUUACUGUCAAAAAGUACUGUCAAGUGAACCAAGGGAUAUUUAAGACAAUGAAACUAUGAAUGACAUUUCUUAAAUGUUUAUUAAAUUCACUUAUCCAUUUGCUUACUCAUUCCAUAUUUAUUGAAUAUUUUCUGUUGAAUUAAAAAAGAGCAACUUUUAAAAGUAAUGAUCAUUUAAAUACCUUAUUUGAAAAACAAAUUAUGAUACUAGUGUAUCAAUGGGUUCACUGAAAAUCCAUUAAUUUAUUGAGUAACCACUAUGGUAAAGCAUUAUUAAUAUUUUCCUAGAAAGAUAAGCUCAACUGACUGCUAAUUCAUGCAGAAACAAUGACACUCAGGAGCCAGGGAGUAUCUCAGCCCAUAUAAAGUGAUGCCUGCACACUGUUGGGUGUUGGGGUAGCUGGGACAGACAUAUGUGACAUAUCGUAAUGGCACCUUCACUAAGUGCUUUCAGAAAACUAGCAUGAUUUUAAUUUCUACCUUAUGAGUAGAAAAAACUUAAAUCACAUACAAUGAAACAGAUUUUAUUUUCAUCUCUUUGCUGACAAGUACUUGGUUCUCUUCACCUAUCUUUUUAAAAUUUCUGAAGAUUUAUUUAUUCGUUUGAAAAGCAGAAAGAGAGAGAGAGAGAGAAUCUCUUACAUCUGCUAGUUCAUUCCCCAACUGCCCACAACACCCACCAGUGGGCAAGACUGAUGUCAGGAGCUAAGAACUCCAACUGGGACUCCCAUGUGGGUGACAGGGACCCAAGUACUUGAGACAUCACCCACUUCCUACCAGGUGCAUUAGCAGGAAACUGGAUCAGAAGUGGAGCAGCUGGGGCAUGAACUGGCACUCCCAUAUGAAAUGUUGGCAUACCAACCCACGGUGGCAUGACACCAGCCCCUAUCUUUUUAUUUCAGCAGUCUGAAGGAAAAAAAAUCUCACACAUGAAAUAUUUUGGUUUGUUUUUUCUUUAGUCCUCUGUAUUUUCACAAUUCCUUGCAUGCAACUAUCUUUGCCCAUUGUAGUUGUUCAGUUAAUGUUUAUUACAUUUCAGAAUUUGGGAGAUAGCAUUUUUUUUUAUUUAUUUGAGAAGCAGAGAAAAGGAGACAGACAGAGAAAUAAGCUCCCAUUUGCUGGUUUACUCCACAAAUACCUGUAACAGCCAGGGCUGAGCCAUGCUGAAACUGGGAGCUGUGAACUCAGUCCAGGUGGCAGGAACCCCAUUACUUAAGCCGUCACUGAUGCAGACCCCGAGGGUCGGCACUAGCAGGAAGCCAGAAUCAGGAGCUAAAGCUAAAUAUCAAACCCAGGUACUCCUGUAUAGGACAGGGACAUUUCAACUGUUAAACUAAACACCUAGCCGGCGCCGCGGCUCAAUAGGCUAAUCCUCCGCCUUGCGGCGCCGGCAUACUGGGUUCUAGUCCCGGUUGGGGUGCCAGAUUCUGUCCUGGUAGCCCCUCUUCCAGGCCAGCUCUCUGCUGUGGCCAGGGAGUACAGUGGAGGAUGGCCCAAGUGCUAGGGCCCUACACCCGCAUGGGAGACCUGGAGAAGCACCUGGCUCCUGCCAUCGGAUCAGUGUGGUGUGCCGGCUGCAGCGCUCCAGCCGCGGUGGCCAUUGGAGGGUGAACCAACGGCAAAGGAAGACCUUUCUCUCUGUCUCUCUCUCUCACUGUCCACUCUGCCUGUCAACAAAAAAAAAAAAAAAAGUAAAAAUAAAAAACAAAACUAAACACCUGCCCUGGAAUAGAUUUUGAUAUUUUAAUCCAGUGAAAGUCAUCAACUGGAAAAGCAGAUUAUAGAUUGUAACUCAUAAUCAAAUACUGUUUGAAAAAUCUAUGUAGCCAAAAAUGGACAUUUUUAAAAAGAGUUAUGCAUUUAUUUAAAAGGUAGAGCAACAGAGAGAAGGAGAAAUAGAGAUCUUCUGUCCACUGGUUCAGUCCCCAUGUCCAUAACAGCUGGGACCCAUCCAGGUUAAAGUCAGGAGCCAGGAACUCACUCCAUCCUGGUCUUGGAUGUGUUUGCCAGGGGCCCAAGCACUUGAGCCAUCCUCUGCUGCUUUGCCAGGUGCAUUAGCAGGGAUCAGAAGUGGAGCAGCUGAGACUCGAACCAGCAUUCCAAUAUUGAAUGCCAGCAUCGCAAGUGGUAGCUUAACCCACUACACCACAACAUUGGCCCCUGGCCCCAGAAUUUUUAUUUUUAUUUAUUUAUUUAUUUAUUUAUUUAUUUAUUUAUUUUGACAGGCAGAGUGGACAGUGAGAGAGAGAGACAGAGAGAAAGGUCUUCCUUUGCCGUUGGUUCACCCUCCAAUGGCCGCCGCGGCCGGUGCGCUGUGGCCGGCGCACCGCGCUGAUCCGAUGGCAGGACCCAGGAGCCAAGUGCUUUUCCUGGUCUCCCAUGGGGUGCAGGGCCCAAGCACCUGGGCCAUCCUCCACUGCACUCCCUGGCCACAGCAGAGAGCUGGCCUGGAAGAGGGGCAACCGGGACAGAAUCCGGCGCCCCAAUUGGGACUAGAACCCGGUGUGCCGGCGCCGCUAGGCGGAGGAUUAGCCUAGUGAGCCGCGGCGCCGGCCCCCUGGCCCCAGAAUUUUACGUGUAGGAUAUCUUACAGAUAAGACUGGCACAUGGGGAUUUUCCAGUCAUCACAUUUGUAAUAUAACCAACGAAUGUAAACAAUGACAUAUACAAAGAGGAGGCAAGCUAAACAAGCAUGGCAAAUCCAUAUUCUGUGGCAGUGAAAAAGAAAGAAGGGGAUUUUAUGCACUGAUGUGGAAGGAUCUCCAGGAUACCUCAUUAAGUGAAAUUGAAGUACAGAACAGUAAAAGUAAAACAAGUGUCCAACGUCAUUUAACCCCUGAGUACUUGUUUCCAGACUGCCUCUCUGGAAGCAUGCCCUAAAAUCUGGGAACAGGCGUUGCUUCCUUUCUACAAGAUAAUUUUUAGUCACAACUGAGAAUUUUUUUACUAUGUUUGUAACUUUAUAAAUAUAUAUAUAUUAUCUUUAAUUGCUUUUGAAGUCUUCAUUGUUAAAGAUUUAUUUAUUUAUUUGAAAGGCAGAGUUACAUACAAAGAGAAAAAUUUUCCAUCCACUGGUUCACUCCCCAAAUGACUGCAACAGCUGGUUCUGAGCCAGGCCAAAGACAGGAGCCUGCAAUUCCAUCUGGGUCUCUGUCUACCCACGUGGGUGGCAGGGGCCCAAGUACUUGAGCCAUCUUCUGCCACAUUCCCAGGCGCAUUAACAGAGAAGUGAAGUAGCUGGGGGGGGAGGGGGAGCCAGCACCGGACCCUCCAUUCCCUUUCUUUCUCCUGUUGCCUUCUCUGCACUUCCUUCUCCUCCCUUCUUCUUUUCUAUUCUUACAAACACUUCCCAUUUCCUCCUCAUAGUCACUUGUCUGUUCCUUUCUUUUUCUCCUAGCCUUAACGUUGCACGUGUCUUCUGUAGGAGGAAGCUUUUAUUCUGAGAAAAGUGGAGCUCCCUCUGUAAAGCUUACGGUGCCCCUGUCCUGUGGGAGAUGAAUGCAGCUGCUGGCAGAAAAAUGGCAACAGUGGGCACGGGCAGUUUCCUGGACAAGAGUCCUGCAUUGCUGAGCAGAAGUGAACCACGAGGCCCUUUCUGUGGUACAGCAGCUGUCUGGUUUCAACGUCACUAGCAUGACAGGUAGCAGCGAGCAGUAUGGACAUAAGAUGUCAUGACAGACGAAGCUGUCCAUUACCGAGAUAUCACAGAACGUAGUUGUUCUGAUGGAGGCACUUCUGAGGGUGGAGGUCAUGCCGGGCGGCAGGCUCAGAGCAGGACUGUUCAGCCUGCUGGCUCUGUGGUCACCCCAAUCGUAAGCACGCCAGACAAAGGAGAGUACUUACCAGUGACGUCUCUGGAACUGUACGGAUGAGCAUCUGCAGAGGAGAGAGAACAGCCGAGUCUGGGCUGCAGUCCUUAAGGUACUAGUUUCUCACGGAGCCCAAGAAAUUUGGGAUAUCUUGGCUCCCAUCUUAGAACCUUGGGAGACCCACCAGUAGCAUCACCAAAAUCAUUUCAGCCAAGAACACGCAGGAAACUCGCUGAGGUGCUGGGACAUCCUUCCGAAUUGGGCAAGACCUAAAGCAGGCCCAGAAUCCCAAGAGCUUCUCUACCCCACAGACAAUGUCUCCAGAUGGCAGAAUGUGUCCAUCACCCUCCCAUGGGGGUACAGUUCAGAUGGGUGUUCAGAGCUGUGCCAUGGGCUCUGCUGGGCAGCUUAAUAAGGUUGGCCUCAUCGCACUGCGGAGGUGGAUUUUUCUUUUCCAGUUUUCCCAGCUGGACUAAGCCAGGCAGAAAGUGCACACCACGGGGAACAGAAACCAGGCAAAGGGGGCUGUGGCAGAUGCAGAAGGCAGCAAGGCUGCUAGGUCAGUGCUGACUCUGGACUGAAUGGUGCAAGAUCCCUACCCAAAUCUCAGAAGCAGGAUGUGGGGAACCGGCCUGUCGCCAUGCAAAGCUAGUGCUAACCUGUUGUCUCGUGGGAGGUGGAGGGCGUGGGUUCCAAGGUCUUUGUUGUUGUCUGAGAUGGGGCUUGGGAGGACUCAUGACUGCCUACCCCCGUGGUUCCUGUGGAAGGUGACGUGGAUGGCAUCAGCUGGGAGCCUGGUACAAUAGCUGUCCCUGUGGCCACUGUGGUGUCUGACUCUGGAGAGAAUGUGGCUGGGCCUGCAGGAGAUUUCAAGAUGGUGAGAACACAAGUAUUUAGACUGGAGUCCUCUGAGUUCCAGCAGAUGGGGAGUCUCAGGACACACUCCAGGGAGCCCACCCCCCAGCCCUGCCCCAGCAUGAUGCCCCCCUUCAGUGGUGACACAUCCAUGGCGAUGGGGCUUAUCAGUUACUUUUCAUGGUGCAUAUAUAGGAAGAACCCUAAAGAGCUGCAUAUUCAAGCUUGCUGCCUAGAGGAGACAUUCACAUGCUCAAAGACGUAGCUCAAAAACACAAGGGAGGCUGGCGUUGUGACGUAGCAUGUAAGCGUGUAAAGCUGCCAUCUGCAUCCCACAUGGGCACCUGUUCAAGUCCCAGAUGCUCCACUUCCAAUCCAGCUCCCUGCUAACAUGCCUGGGGAAACAGAAGAAGGUGGCCCAAGUGCUUGGGCUGCUGCACCCAUGUGGGAGACCCAGAUGCAGCUCCUGGCUCCUGGCUUUGGCCUGGCCCAGCCCUGUCCCUUGUGGCCAUUUGGGGAAUGAGCCAGUGGAUGGACUUGUGUUUGCCAAAAAACUAAGAUUCUGGUUUUCUUUUUUACAUGUUGGCAAACACUUUUUGAAAUAUGGGGAAGCCUGAGAUUUGGCUUGUCUGAACUCAGUGGUGUGUAUUUGAGGGAUAUAUCCUGAUUUAGCUUCGGUCUCAGGGAGGGAGACUGCCUUGCCCCUUCUUGGCGGAUGGCUGCCCCUAUACUGUUAAGUAAGGUGUGGCAUAGCUGUUUCCUAUCUUGUCUCCAUGGCAACUGGGUCUUCUGACAGAUACAGAACUUAGAAAAUACAGCCUUAGAGCAAAGCACCUGGUGAGGCCAAGCAUCACAAUGCUCUUGACACGUGAUUGAAGCCUGUGUCCCCAUCCUCUCCCAGCCACCUACAUGGUGAGAGGUCCCCUACAAUUAACCCUUCGUUACGGCCUCACAUGCCCCUCACCUUACUCUAGCUGUCAGCACUCCAGGGUCCCCCGCAUCUAGAGUCCCCCCCAGACCAAGCAUUCACAUCCAAGCAUGCGCUCACAUCAGUCUGUAUCAAAUGUUCCUCUCACAGCCGAGCUUCCAGCUGCACAGUUUGAUCUCAGCAAAGGACAUCUGACCAAGUGAUUGGGACACAGAUGCAAGGCUAGGAGUGGUGACUUGGUGAUUAUCUGAUUUAUUGGGCAAAUCAAAAGUGACUCUGUUUGCUCCCAAUUAUAAAACAUUCGGGUUCCCUGAGCCCAGGUUUCUCCUCCCAGAGUGUAACCCACUGGACAUCUGGGCAUCUAUUCAGGCCCAUCCACAUUGCUUCUGUGAGAAAUAAAGAAGUUGAUGCGAACAUGCUAAUGAUCCUGCUGCUUGCUAUGCCACAUAUAAAUGAGCCACACUGUCUCUUCUCCAGGAGUAUUAUGUUUUCUGCCAACACCCAUAAAACUGUGGCAGGCUAACGUGGUACAAAUGAGAUCACAUCUCAGGCUGUUUCCAGUUCGUGAUAAGGAUAAGUGUCUACAACUAAGCAUAAUUUGAUAUAUUAACAGUGAGUUUUAAACCACUAUUCAUUGUGCACAUAUGAAAUCUAGACAUCAAGCAACUCUGAUUUUAAAAAGAAAAUUAGAGCCACUAUAAAUUCUGACUCCUGUCCUCAACAAAGAGUCUGUUCUGUUACCUACGUUGGCAGCAGAAAAGCAGCUGGGUCCUUGAAUGUUCAGGAUUCGGGGGUGGGGAGCUGGGUGGUAGUAGGGAAUGGGAAUCUUUAAAAAGUUUCCUGUGUUCCUACCUUUUCCAGAAGGGGAGGGGCUCUCUGGCUGUGGGGUCACCCUUGCCGUCACUACAGUGGAGGGUGGCACUGGCCUUUGGUGAGUCAGGGAGGGGUCUCCUGGAGAGAGGAUAACCACAUGGCAUUUACGAUCCUGAGGGUGGUACUUGGGGGUGGCUUCAGAACUGGAUAUACAUUUUAAAAACCUAAAUAUACAAUGGAGAUAUCUAACUUCCUAAGUCGGAUUCAAAGUUCAGGAAAUAAACAGCAGUGUUUUCCAAUCCAAAUGCAAAGACAGAUAGCAAACUUUAUUUAUUUUUUUAAGAUUUAUUUUAUUUGUUUGAAAGGCAGAGUUAGACACAGAGAGGGAGAGGAAAACAGAGAGAGGUCUUCCAUGUGCUGGUUCACUCCCCAAAUGGCCACAAUGGCCAGAGCUGGGCCAGAUCAAAGCCUGAAGCCAGGAGCUGUCUCUGAGUCUCCCAUGUGGGUGGAGGGACCCAUUGGCCAUCUUCCACUGCCUCCACAGGCACAUUAGCAGGGAGCUGGCUCAGAAGUAGAACAGCCGGGACUUGAACUGACACCCAUAUGGCAGGUCAGCAUUACAGGUAGCAGCUUUAACCCAUUAUGCCACAACACCCCAGCAAACUUUAUUUGUAGCAUUUCCAAAAAAAAAAAAAAACUACACAACUAAGGCAUCAAAUUUAUUUUUGGCUGGAACAGUAUUAAUGAUAUUAACUCAGUUUUACAACAUUGGAUUUUCAUGGGACAGUAAACAAUUACUCAAUAGAUUCUGUUUGUUUAGAAUGAAAAAUCAGGGGCCAGGGCAUAGCAGGUAAAGCCACUACCUGUGAUGGCGAUAUCCCAUAUGGGCUCCAGUGCAAGUCCCUGCUGCUCCACUUCUGAUGUAGCUCCCUGCUGAGGUACCUAAGAAAGCAGUGGAGGAUGGCCCAAGUGCUUGGGCCCCUACACCUGCAUGGGAGACCAGGAAGAAGCACCUGGCUCCUGGCUUUGGAUUGGUGCAGCUCCAGCCGUAGCAGCCAUUGGGGGAGUGAACCAACGGAAGGAAGACCUUUCUCUUUGUCUCUCUCUCACUGUCUAUAACUCUACCUGUCAAAUAAAAAAAAAAAAUCAUUCAAAGCACAAGAGGCUGGGAAAAACAAUGAUUGAAGGGAGUUGGUGGUAAAAAAAAAAUGGAGGAAGCUCUGAACUAGGUGAAACCUAACUGGACUACAAGGUGUCUUCUUCCCUUCCCAUCUGCCUGGUUCAGAGCCUACAGCUCCACUCCUUAAUAGAUUCAUUCACCCAAAUGACACAGAGCUUUAUGGAAAUGUAACUUUCCUUACAGUGGAAAGGCCCUUAUUUUUGUCCUUGAAUUACAGGUUCCAGUGGGUCCCAGGACAGGACAGAGUCAGAGAUCCGCUCGGGGUUCCCACAGUUACCCAGCCUCACCUGGCUCCUCUAUUCAGUUCUACCCAGUGCCACAGGGAGCUUGAUUCCUCAGCUGGAUGAUUCCUCGAUAUGAGUGGAAGGGCUUCCUGCUUCCCUUCCCUGUGACUUCUGUUCUGAAGAGAAGGAUGGGGGAGAAGGGCUAUCUACCACUACACAUCCCAUGAGAAAGUGUGGCUCUUUGAGGGAUCCUCCAGCAGAGUGAGUUCGCUAUGGGACAGUCCCCUCCCAGCCCCUGCCCCAUACAGGAGUUCAGAAUGCUCGCCAAUGUUAUACAAAUUUGAGAAAGCAUCUAGCUCACUGCUAGACAGAGCCAAGACUCAUUAAGUCAGGGCAUGGGUCAAUCUUUACUUUUCUAGAGGUGGGAAGGGAGGAGUAGAAGUGGAGCUUAGUAUUCAUGGAAAUAGCACCUAGUGGCUUCCACCUCAACAGCAUUUGGCUUCUUUUAGCAUGUCUGUCCAGUUGUAGACUGUUUUUAGGGGAAAACUUGAGAACUGUAAGAUACCAUACACAGUGACUAAGCUAAGGGAAACAUUGCUGCACAGGUCUGUUCCAGUCCUUGGGAUUGAGCAAUAAUGGGAAAAACAGCAAUAGUUUCCCUGCAGUCUCCUUCCUUGGGAAAAAAACAAACAAACAAACAAACAAACACUAAACUCCCUGGAAAGCAAGUGUGCUUGUAAGCACGUAUCCUUUCUGUAACCCAAAUCCUUGCUACCAUAAAUCUCAAAGCAAGCAUUCACAGUAGUGUCAGUUCAUAUGUACCACUGAAUCCUCAUACAACCUGCAGUGUGAACAUGGGGUUCAUUUCCUAGAAGACCAUCCAGAGCUCCAAGAGAUUAAGGGCCUUCCCUGAGACCUCACAGGUACGAAAUGGCAGAGCCAAUUGUGAACCCAGAAUUGUGUGACCCAAACACCCAUGUGUCUACAACUGAAGAAGGUGUUUUUCAGUGUCCCAUUGGUGUUUAGCCUCCGACUUCAACACAGAGAAGUGUGUUGGCCCUGAGAUGGACUCAUCUGGCCCCAUACUGCAUCUCUGCUCUUUGUGUGGCCUUGGCGGGGUGAAGAAGGACAAGAGUAGGAACUGGAUACUUACUGAUGCACUUGAGAUUGGGAGUUGUCCAGUAGGCAAUGUUUGUGGUUUUGUUAAACACACACUCCGUCAGGCUGGAUGUCCCGGCUUUACGCUUGAAACCUGAGUUACAAACAUACCGCUCCCUGGAGCUCAAGUUGUAACUCUUGACCCGGAUGGCUGCAUGUUCAACAGAUGUGGGCGUGGGGCAUGUGACACCUAUAGAAGUGCAGAUGAGAAGGAACAGAUAAAAAGAUUUCAGCUUGCCAAGAGCAGAUCUCCAGGUACAGCCAACAGUCAAUAAUAGUAUAGCCAAGGUCAAGGCUUAUCCAAGGGGCCCCUCAGGGUAGACCCCAGGAUCCAAGCAUGUAGGAGAUGUUCUGGAAGGGUAUCUCACUGUCUAGAGACCUUCCAGGAGCCACCCUGCAUAGCUACAGACAAGAGAGUCACCAGUGACGUCCCCUCCCUGUCACCCUCCAGUUCCCAUCCAUCCCCAAAUCCUCAGGGUCGCCCCAAGCAUCCAGCUCUCUCCACUCUGCACUAAGCCUCCGGGCCCUCCUGCUGAGCAAGAAGAGCUUCCAGACCAGUCUCCCGAGAGACUUCAACCCAUGUGCACCAGGCAGCCAGCAUGACCUGUCAUGCAUAUUUGAUACCAUCACUUUCCCUGGCUUUCCCCUGCUCGUAUUUGUAGGAUAAAGACUGACAUCCCUAAGAAGUCUCGGAGAGUCUGCCUGAUUUGGCCCCAUCUACCUCUCCAGCUCUCUUCCUCCUGGCCACUCUGGUCUGGGUUUCCCCUGUGCUACUCACUAUCCGUCCACCCUACACAACCCACAACCACCUUCCUGGCUGGUUACUAUUGCCAACCCUCCUUCCCAGCUUAUGGCACGAGCAUUUCCCUUAGUUCUUAAAAGGAGAGGUGGCAACCAACAUUUCAAACCAAGGUUGUUGGCCCAUGCUUGUUUAAGAUGAGGUUCUAUCUGAUGCCAGAAAACUCCAUUGUAGCUGAUGUUAAAAAGCAGUUUUUCUUUAGCCACUACAAAUAACUGUUAUGAUUUUUACUAUUUUUCUCAUUGAUGUAACACAUGUUAGGUCUUCUCACAUGUAGAUGAGAUGAGCAGGAAUUGGUAUUUGAGGCCAAGCACCACCCCGGGUAUGGAAGGGGCUACCAGUAGGUUGUGUUGGAGGGAGAUUCCUGUGCAGUGAGUUUUUGGUGCUUGGAAAACAUGUAUAAAUGCUGAGUCAUUCACCAGCUGAGAUGCUGGCCAGAGGCCACCACUUGGCUUAACCACAUCAGUUGAAAAACAUAAAAAUCCAUGGGCUGCCUAUAGCUGCCUGAGAACCUGGAUAUUUGGUUCCAGAUUGGAAAACCGCCAAAAAUAAUCUCUGCUGAGCAAGCCGCUGGUGCCAUAGCAGGUGGGAAGGGUGGGACUCAGACGAAAGAACUGAGCUAAAAGCAUUUUUCUGUUCAUGUGGGGAGACCACAGAAGAGGCCAAACACAGUGGCUGCACCGGCCAGGAAAGGACUCCUAGUGGCCUCUAUGCAAAUAGUGGCCCAUGGGCCAACCCUGCCUGCUAACCUAUUUUUGUAAAUCAAGUUUUACUGGCGCAUGGCCUCAUUCAUUCAUUUAAGUCGUGUUGAUGCCAGCUUUCACACUGCAGUGGCAGAGCAGAUGUGGUGAACUGAUUUUAAAUCUAAAAUAAAAUAUUUAUUCAUUGCCCAGUGCUUUCUAGAAAAAGUGCUCAUUUAUGUUCUAGAUAGCCUUUAAACAAAUCAUUGCCUUUGUAGGUAAAACCAAUUGCAUAGUCAAUCAGCACAGUGUACAGGAGACCGAGAGUGAUACAGCCCACAUAAAAAUGAAAACCUUUCUGCAUAUCAAAAUCCAACCUAAGUUAAAGACAAAUGACCAAAUGACAAAAAAAAAAUUACAUCUCAUAGUGUACUUCCAUAAGGCUAAUUCUUCUCAUAUGUUAAGAGCUCUUAAAAAUCAGUAUAAAGUCCACUAAUCCCAUAGGAAAGCAUAAAAAGAUAUAAACAGGACAUUCACAGCAGAUAGCAGCCCUUAUAAAUAUAUAAAAAUCUGUUCAACCUCAUUCAUAAUCAAAGAAAUGUGGGGGCCAGUGCUGAGUUGUAGUGGGUAAAGCUGUGGAGCUGACAUCCCAUAUGGAUGCUGAGUCAAGUCCCAGGUGCUCCAUUUCUAAUCCAGCUCCCUGCCAAUCUGCCUGGGAAAGCACCAGAAGAUGGUCCAAGUGCUUAGGCACCUGUACCCAUGUGGAAGACCUGGAAGAAGCUCCUGUCUUCUGGCUUCAGCCUGUCCCAGCUCUGGGCAUUGUGGCCAUUUGGGGAGUGAAUUAGCAGGUGGAAGAUUUUUCUCCCUCAGUCUCUCUGGAACUCUGCCUUUCAUAAAAAAAACUAUUUUAAAAAAAUGAAGGAAAUGUAAAAUAAAAACUAUAUGAGAUAUCACUUAUCAGCUGUGAGAAGAGCUAAAAGUUCAGUCAUAUACUAUGCUGGUCAUCUAUUAUGUUCAUAAGGCUUGCACAACCCUACUGAGGCCAUAUCUUCAAUCUCUUUAUAGAGAUUACAGAUGCACCUGCUUUCUGACCUGACAGUUCUACUUCUAUGACUCUGUCAUACAGAUUUAUCUGCAUAUUUGUGAAACAUUGUUAUGACACACCCUGUAAACUAGCAAGUCUAUUUAUAAGAAUCUAAUUUACAGAUACGCUGGCACAUUUGUGAAGUGAGUAUGUACAAAGUUAUUCAUUAUCGUAUCCAGUAUCUGUAAAUAACCUUGUAUGUAGUCAGGAGGUGACUCAUCAAGCAGAUUACAGUACAAACACACAAUGAUGUACCACCUAGCUUUGCCAAACACACUAAGAAAACCCUUUGAGCAUUGAAGUGGAGAGACCACCAAUACACAGUUAAGCUUAAAAGAAAAGCAGAAUGCUGUGUACUGUAUGCUACUAGCAGAGAAUAAAGGAGAAAUAAAACCUAUACAUAAGUUUUUUUUUUUUUGGUCUGUACAUAAAGUCUCUGAAAGGAUACACAAGAAACUCAGCAAUAGGGCCAAGGCAGCUGAGAAAGAUAAAUGGAGGCCUUUUUACCUUUGAAUUUUUCAAUGGUACAAACACUUUGCCUAUUGAAAAUGCAUUUGGGAGUUUUUGUAAUGCCCUGUUUCUUUUCAUUUUUGUCAAUUUACAUAUUUUAUUUACUCAAAAAGAAGAGAGACAGAUAGAAUUUCCAUUGCUUGUUCACUCUCCAAAUAUCCACAACAGUGGGCGCUGGGCAAGGCCAACACCAGAAUCUUGGAACUGAAUCUGAGCACCCAAAUGGGUGGCACGGACUCAACUACUUGAGUCAUCACUGGUGCCUCCCAGUGUGCACCUUAGCAGGCAGCUGGAGUCAGGACCCAAACCCAGGCACUCUAAGAUGGGGUACGGGCACCCUAAGCAGUGUUUUAACCACCAUACCAAUGCCCUCCCUGUAAACUCUGCAUCUUCAUCUGAUUUGUACCUGUGUAUUUAUUAUCCUUUUUUAUCCAUGACAUUCAUUAUGGCGUAAAAAUCAAAAUGUUUACCAGUGUCCCUUUCAGACUGACCAGACAGAAUAGAUGUUGGUGCUAAUUUGGACCAGGCUGGGUGACCACCAGCUACAAAUGAGAGGAAGGACCAUACUGAAGAGGAAGGGCUGUGGUUCAGCCAUCUGUAUGUUAAGACGGUUCUAAGUAUUCUAACUACUUCAUAUUAAUAAUAAUAAUAAUAAUAAAAGCUAGAGUGGAUUUUAGGGUAUCUUCCCACAGGAGAUCAGAAACCUUGGUUAGGCCUAGGGCAACACAGGAAUAAAUUAUGCUAACAGUGGGUGUUUAUUGUCAAAUAAACGUGAGAAAUGCAGAAGAUCCUUGAAUUAGGAGUUCUUGCCUUUUUCUGAGCCAGUUACAGCUGUUCAGAUUAAAAAAAAAAAAAGCCAAAAAA